rnacentral:rRNA from 1 species
UACAGAGGGGGCAAGCGUUGUUCGGAAUUACUGGGCGUAAAGAGCGCGUAGGCGGUCUGUUAAGUGUAGAGUGAAAUCUCUGGGCUCACCCCAGAAACUGCUCUGCAUACUGGCAGACUUGAGGGAUGCAGAGGUUUGUGGAAUUCCUGGUGUAGCGGUGAAAUGCGUUGAUAUCAGGAGGAACACCCAUGGCGAAGGCAGCAAACUGGGCAUCAUCUGACGCUGAGGCGCGAAAGCGUGGGUAGCAAACAGG